UACGUAGGGUGCGAGCGUUAAUCGGAAUUACUGGGCGUAAAGCGUGCGCAGGCGGUUCGUUAAGUUCGUUGUGAAAGCCCCGGGCUCAACCUGGGAACUGCAAUGGAAACUGGCGGGCUUGAAUGCGGCAGAGGGGGGUGGAAUUCCGCGUGUAGCAGUGAAAUGCGUAGAUAUGCGGAGGAACACCGAUGGCGAAGGCAAUCCCCUGGGCCUGCACUGACGCUCAUGCACGAAAGCGUGGGGAG
rnacentral:rRNA from 1 species